AUUGAACGCUGGCGGCAGGCCUAACACAUGCAAGUCGAACGAGUGGCGGACGGGUGAGGAGUAUAUCGGAAUCCACGCUGUCGGGGGGGAAAACGUAGGGAAACUAACGCUAAUACCGCAUACGAUUGUAUGAGCCGAUGUCGGUUUAGCUAGUUGGAGGGGUAAAGGCCCAUCAAGGCGACGAUCCGUAGCUGGUCUGAGAGGAUGAUCAGCCACACUGGAACUGAGACACGGUCCAGACUCCUACGGGAGGCAGCAGUGGGGAAUAUUGGACAAUGGGCGCAAGCCUGAUCCAGCCAUACCGCGUGGGUGAAGAAGGCCUUCGGGUUGUAAAGCCCUUUUGUUGGGAAAGCGGUACCCAAAGAAUAAGCACCGGCUAACUUCGUGCCAGCAGCCGCGGUAAUUC
rnacentral:rRNA from 1 species